GACGAACGCUGGCGGCGUGCCUAAUACAUGCAAGUUGAGCGCUGAAGGUUGGUACUUGUACCAACUGGAUGAGCAGCGAACGGGUGAGUAACGCGUGGGGAAUCCGCCUUUGAGCGGGGGACAACAUUUGGAAACGAAUGCUAAUACCGCAUAAAAACUUUAAACACAAGUUUUAAGUUUGAAAGAUGCAAUUGCAUCACUCAAAGAUGAUCCCGCGUUGUAUUAGCUAGUUGGUGAGGUAAAGGCUCACCAAGGCGAUGAUACAUAGCCGACCUGAGAGGGUGAUCGGCCACAGUGGGACUGAGACACGGCCCAAACUCCUACGGGAGGCAGCAGUAGGGAAUCUUCGGCAAUGGACGAAAGUCUGACCGAGCAACGCCGCGUGAGUGAAGAAGGUUUUCGGAUCGUAAAACUCUGUUGGUAGAGAAGAACGUUGGUGAGAGUGGAAAGCUCAUCAAGUGACGGUAACUACCCAGAAAGGGACGGCUAACUACGUG
rnacentral:rRNA from 1 species